rnacentral:rRNA from 1 species
GACGAACGCUGGCGGCGUGCUUAACACAUGCAAGUCGAACGGAAAGGCCCUGCUUUUGUGGGGUGCUCGAGUGGCGAACGGGUGAGUAACACGUUAUUAACCUGCCCUUGACUUUGGGAUAACUUCAGGAAACUGGGGCUAAUACCGGAUAGGAGCUCCUGCUGCAUGGUGGGGGUUGGAAAGUUUCGGCGGUUGGGGAUGGACUCGCGGCUUAUCAGCUUGUUGGUGGGGUAGUGGCUUACCAAGGCUUUGACGGGUAGCCGGCCUGAGAGGGUGACCGGCCAAAUUGGGACUGAGAUACGGCCCAGACUCCUACGGGAGGCAGCAGUGGGGAAUAUUGCACAAUGGGCGGAAGCCUGAUGCAGCAACGCCGCGUGCGGGAUGACGGCCUUCGGGUUGUAAACCGCUGUCGCCUGUGACGAAGCGUGAGUGACGGUAAUGGGUAAAGAAGCACCGGCUAACUACGUG